UGUUUGAUUUGAUUUGACACCAAGUAAUGUGGGUUGUUUGAUUUGAUUUUUUAUUUAUUUUGUUGUUAAUUUUUUACAUUCUCAAAUCAGGUCACAGAACCAGGAUAGGAACUGAAAUGUCAUCUUUAAAUGCACAUUCAAGAAUAGAAGGCAGACAAUGCAAUAAUGAGUCGUAGUUCUAGGUUGGUUUAAAUGUUCUAGAACCAAAAGGAAAAUUAUUUGACUGAGGAUCAAACAAGAUCUCUUGACGCUUGUUCUAUUAUAAUCGUAACUAAUACGUCAAUAAUGAACUCGAUUCAGAAUUGUAUUUGUAGUUUGAACUAAUACCAUUUCAUGGAACACUAUUAAUAUGUCAGGCAAACUUUGCUACCAUGUUUCUCUCCUAGACGCUCCCUUCCCCUUUAUCGUCUGUCAUCCGUAGAGAAAAGACCUUUGGUCAGUAUAUUUCGCAACUAGGCAGAAAUGGAAAACAACUUAAGUUUAAAUCACUCACUCAAUUAAUAACUCAUGUCUACUGCUGUGACAGCUAUUUUAGAGUCGUUCUUUUGGCUGUGCUGGAUGUCUGCAACACUGAUAUAAUAUAAUAGAUAUUAUUAGGUGCUUAAAGUUAUCCUAUUUGGAUAUCCCACUCUCCCUGAGACACCUUUAAAGAGUGGGGUCAUGGCUAGGGUUCAGCCAUUAUCGACAGCUACCCUGGAGCAGCUAAGGAUAACUGCCUUGCUCAAGGGUACAUUGGCAGAUUUUUUCACCAAGUCAGGUCUAGGAUUUGAACCAGCAACCUUUUGGUUACUGCCACCCAACAGCAAUCAUGUUUGAAUAUCUCCACUGACUUCAUUACUGCGGUUUGCACAGGUUAUUACUUGAACAAGUGGAUGAUUCAUUGACAGCUGAAUAUUCAGAUUACUAUUGUCAAUUAAAUAAUUUGAAUAAUCAGACAAAACAAUUAGAAUGAUUUGCAGUAAGUUAAUUGGAUCUUAUCAAUUGUGGCUGAUUUCAAACUGAUGUUGAACCCAUUUAACAUGUACAUUACCACAUUACUUAAGUAGAUAAAUGAAAUCAAUUACAUUUAUCAUGAAGUUGCUGAGAGCCCCAUUAUUAAUGUGCUUGGGUGGCUCUAAACCAUAUUUUCAUCACUUUGGAUCCAAUAUGAGUUUUUUUGCUGAAAGUGGAACAACUGCAAGUCAAAGCACCCUUCAUGAUGCAAGCAAUCACACCACAGUGUUGCCAUGAGCAGCAUAAAUGACCACCAUUGUUUCAAUAUUAGACACGUUGUCCAGCUUAGUACAUCUUAGGAAUUCAUACAAAUCUGUGCUGUUGCAAACUUACUGCUCGCUAGAAGCAAGAGGAAAUAAAAGCAUAUGCCGUGCUUCUACAUCUUUACUGCUUGCUGUUUGGGGUUUUAGGCUGGCUUUCUGUACAGCACUUUGAUAUCAGCUGAUGUAAGAAGGGCUUUAUAAAUACAUUUGAUUUGAUUUGAUACGAACUUACAUUAAAAAAAAGGGGGAUUCUAUAGAACCUUUUGGUCUAUUCAAAUUUGAACCGCCAUUCUGAAUUAAAAACCAACUGCCAUUCUGAUUAAAAAACCAACCACCAUUCCAACAUGAGGAUGCAAGAGGACUGUGGUUGAAUAAAUGAAGUCAGUCAUUUAAUAAACUAUAGCUAGACUAAAUAGAUAAAACAUUUGAGCACUGUUUGUAAGCUAGCUAGCUAACAAGCUAGACAGGUCAAAGCUAUGCUUCUUUAAUUAGCCACUUUACAAGCUAGCUCUUACAAAGAAACAUGAUUUUGUAUUAUGGAAUAUGCCAAAUAGAGCUACAGACCCAGCCUGACAAUGGCUAUUAGUUCAUUGUUACUUUUAUUUCAGUGUGGAGUCAGAUGAGGGGACAAUGUUUAAUGAAGCUAUUACAAGACUAUUGUUGACCUCUGUUGAAUGCACUUGAUGGGCAGUGGGCGGACUGAGAGGAAGUAUUUAUCUAAAUGAUUUAUAUAUAUUUGUCGUGGUGAUUCAAUAGGCUAGUUAAUCAUUACAUGGCUUUUGACACACUAUGUUUUGCUCAGUCUGGCAGUAAGCCAUCAGAGGCAGAGGAUCUCUCUUUCGGCUGCUGCUGACAACAACUCUAUACCCAGCAGGCACAACCCCUACUGUACUGUUCCAUAAAGCCACAGAGUUGGUGCCAAGAUUGGUCAUCAUUCAAGCAAACAGUUUCCACCCUGGCCACCAGUGCAUAUUUCCAAACUAUGUUUGCAUAUAAUGACAAUAAAAUGUCAAAACAUU